rnacentral:rRNA from 1 species
ACGGAAGGCAGCAGUGGGGGAUAUUGCACAAUGGGGGAAACCCUGAUGCAGCGACGCCGCGUGAGUGAUGAAGUAUUUCGGUAUGUAAAGCUCUAUCAGCAGGGAAGAUAAUGACGGUACCUGACUAAGAAGCCCCGGCUAACUACGUGCCAGCAGCCGCGGUAAUACGUAGGGGGCAAGCGUUAUCCGGAUUUACUGGGUGUAAAGGGUGCGUAGGUGGUAUGGUAAGUCAGAAGUGAAAACCCAGGGCUCAACUUUGGGAUUGCUUUUGAAACUAUCAGACUAGAGUGCAGGAGGGGUAAGCGGAAUUCCUAGUGUAGCGGUGAAAUGCGUAGAUAUUAGGAAGAACACCGGCGGCGAAGGCGGCUUACUGGACUGUAACUGACACUGAUGCACGAAAGCGUGGGGAGCAAACAGGAUUAGAUACCCUGGUA